UAAAUACUAAUACCAGAUCGAUAGUGCACAAGUACCGUGAGGGAAAGGUGAAAAGAACUGAGGUGAUCAGAGUGAAAUAGAACCUGAAACCAUUUGCUUACAAUCAUUCAGAGCCCUAUGUAGCAAUACAGGGUGAUGGACUGCCUUUUGCAUAAUGAGCCUGCGAGUUGUGGUGUCUGGCAAGGUUAAGCAAACGCGAAGCCGUAGCGAAAGCGAGUCUGAAUAGGGCGCUUAGUCAGAUGCUGCAGACCCGAAACGAAGUGAUCUAUCCAUGAGCAAGUUGAAGCUAGUGUAAGAACUAGUGGAGGACUGAACCCAUAGGCGUUGAAAAGCCCCGGGAUGACUUGUGGAUAGGGGUGAAAGGCCAAUCAAACUUCGUGAUAGCUGGUUCUCUCCGAAAUAUAUUUAGGUAUAGCGUUGUGUCGUAAUAUAAGGGGGUAGAGCACUGAAUGGGCUAGGGCAUACACCAAUGUACCAAACCCUAUCAAACUCCGAAUACCUUAUAUGUAAUCACAGCAGUCAGGCGGCGAGUGAUAAAAUCCGUCGUCAAGAGGGAAACAACCCAGACUACCAGCUAAGGUCCCUAAAUCUUACUUAAGUGGAAAACGAUGUGAAGUUACUUAAACAACCAGGAGGUUGGCUUAGAAGCAGCCAUCCUUUAAAGAAAGCGUAAUAGCUCACUGGUCUAGUGAUUUUGCGCGGAAAAUAUAACGGGGCUAAAGUAAGUACCGAAGCUGUAGACUUGCGCACAACUUAGAUUAUUUAAGUUUAGAAUAUGAGAAACUAAGUUAUAUGUUUAGUUAUAUUUUUACUGAUUUUUAUAGAGUAAAGAUAGAAAUAAAACUUAGUAAAAUCAGUAAAAAUAUUCUUAGACUAAAGUUAAGUAGUUUAAGUUGUGUGCAAGUGGUAGGAGAGCGUUCUAUUUGCGUCGAAGGUAUACCGGUAAGGAGUGCUGGAGCGAAUAGAAGUGAGCAUGCAGGCAUGAGUAGCGAUAAUUAAUGUGAGAAUCAUUAACGCCGUAAACCCAAGGUUUCCUACGCGAUGCUCGUCAUCGUAGGGUUAGUCGGGUCCUAAGUCGAGUCCGAAAGGGGUAGACGAUGGCAAAUUGGUUAAUAUUCCAAUACCAACAUUAGUGUGCGAUGGAAGGACGCUUAGGGCUAAGGGGGCUAGCGGAUGGAAGUGCU
rnacentral:rRNA from 1 species